UACGAAGGGGGCUAGCGUUGCUCGGAAUCACUGGGCGUAAAGCGCACGUAGGCGGCUUUUUAAGUCAGGGGUGAAAUCCUGGAGCUCAACUCCAGAACUGCCCUUGAUACUGGCGGUCUCGAGUCCGGGAGAGGUGAGUGGAACUGCGAGUGUAGAGGUGAAAUUCGUAGAUAUUCGCAAGAACACCAGUGGCGAAGGCGGCUCACUGGUCCGGUACUGACGCUGAGGUGCGAAAGCGUGGGGAGCAAACAGG
rnacentral:rRNA from 1 species